rnacentral:rRNA from 1 species
CUACUGGACCUAGCGGCGGACGGGUGAGUAAUGCUUAGGAAUCUGCCUAUUAGUGGGGGACAACAUUCCGAAAGGAAUGCUAAUACCGCAUACGUCCUACGGGAGAAAGCAGGGGACCUUCGGGCCUUGCGCUAAUAGAUGAGCCUAAGUCGGAUUAGCUAGUUGGUGGGGUAAAGGCCUACCAAGGCGACGAUCUGUAGCGGGUCUGAGAGGAUGAUCCGCCACACUGGGACUGAGACACGGCCCAGACUCCUACGGGAGGCAGCAGUGGGGAAUAUUGGACAAUGGGGGGAACCCUGAUCCAGCCAUGCCGCGUGUGUGAAGAAGGCCUUAUGGUUGUAAAGCACUUUAAGCGAGGAGGAGGCUACUAGUAUUAAUACUACUGGAUAGUGGACGUUACUCGCAGAAUAAGCACCGGCUAACUCUGUGCCAGCAGCCGCGGUAAUACAGAGGGUGCGAGCGUUAAUCGGAUUUACUGGGCGUAAAGCGUGCGUAGGCGGCCAUUUAAGUCAAAUGUGAAAUCCCCGAGCUUAACUUGGGAAUUGCAUUCGAUACUGGAUGGCUAGAGUAUGGGAGAGGAUGGUAGAAUUCCAGGUGUAGCGGUG